rnacentral:rRNA from 1 species
AGCUCCAAUAGCGUAUAUUAAAGUUGUUGCAGUUAAAAAGCUCGUAGUUGGAUUUCUGUCGAAAGCAAGUAGCUCGCUCCUUGAGUGUUGUUCUUACGUCGUUUUUGACAUAUUUCUGUUUUGCGGUUAGUGUUCUUAAUUGAGCAUUAAAUUCGCAGGCAGAACUUUUACUUUGAGAAAAUUAGAGUGUUCUAAGCAGGCUAGUGCCUUGAAUACUGCAGCAUGGAAUAAUAAUAUAGGAUUUCAGUUCUAUUUUAUUGGUCUAAGGAUUGAAAUAAUGAUUAAUAGGGACAGUUGGGGGCAUUCGUAUUUAACUGUCAGAGGUGAAAUUCUUAGAUUUGUUAAAGACGAACUACUGCGAAAGCAUUUGCCAAGGAUGUUCUCAUUAAUCAAGAACGAA